ensembl:lncRNA
ACCGUGUGUAUGAGAGGAGUGUAUGAGGCAGCGUGUAUGAGACGUGUGUAUGAGGCAGUGUGUAUGAGGCAGUGUGUAUGAACCGUGUGUAUGAAACCGUGUGUAUGAGACAUGUGUAUGAACCGUGUGAAUGAGACAUGUGUAUGAAACCAUGUGUAUGAGGCGAUGUGUAUGAACCGUGUGUAUGAGGCAGUGUGUAUGAGGCAGUGUGUAUGAACCGUGUGUAUGAGAGGAGUGUAUGAGGCAGCGUGUAUGAGACGUGUGUAUGAGGCAGUUGUAUGAGGCAGCAUGUAUGAGACGUGUGUAUGAGACGAGUGUAUGAGGCAGUGUGUAUGAGACGUGUGUAUGAGACCAUGUGUAGUGUGUAUGAACCAUGUGUAUGAGACGAGUGUAUGAGGCAGUGUGUAUGAAACCAUGUGUAUGAGACGUGUGUAUGAGACGAGUGUAUGAGAUGAAACCAUGUGUAUGAGACGUGUGUAUGAGACGAGUGUAUGAGACAUCGUGUAUGCGACAUGUGUAUGAGGCAGUGUGUAUGAGACGUGUGUAUGAGGCAGUGUGUAUGAACCGUGUGUAUGAAACCAUUGUAUGAGGCAGUGUGUAUGAACCGUGUGUAUGAGACGAGUGUAUGAGGCAGUGUGUAUGAACCCUGUGUAUGAAACCAUGUGUGUGAGACGUGUGUAUGAG